CCUACGGGUGGCAGCAGUGAGGAAUAUUGGUCAAUGGGCGUAAGCCUGAACCAGCCAAGUCGCGUGAGGUAUGAAGGUUCUAUGGAUCGUAAACCUCUUUUCUAAGGGAAUAAAGUGUGGUACGUGUCCUGUUUUGUAUGUACCUUAUGAAUAAGGAUCGGCUAACUCCGUGCCAGCAGCCGCGGUAAUACGGUGGAUGCAAGCGUUAUCCGGAUUUAUUGGGUUUAAAGGGUGCGUAGGCUGGGAGGUAAGUCAGCGGUGAAAUUCCCCCGCUCACCGGUGUGACGUGCCAUUGAGACUGGCUGUCUGGAAUGCGGAUGUCGUAGGAGGAAUGGGUGGUGUAGCGGUGAAAUGCAUAGAUAUCACACAGAACACCGAUUGCGAAGGCAGCGUACGA
rnacentral:rRNA from 1 species